ACGGGAGGCAGCAGUGGGGGAUAUUGGACAAUGGGGGCAACCCUGAUCCAGCGACGCCGCGUGAGGGAAGAAGGUUUUCGGAUUGUAAACCUCUGUCGACAGGGAAAAUAGUGAUGGUACCUGUGGAGGAAGCCACGGCUAACUACGUGCCAGCAGCCGCGGUAAUACGUAGGUGGCAAGCGUUGUCCGGAAUUACUGGGUGUAAAGGGAGUGUAGGCGGGACUGCAAGUCAGAAGUGAAAAUUAUGGGCUCAACUCAUAACCUGCUUUUGAAACUGUAGUUCUUGAGUGAAGUAGAGGCAAGCGGAAUUCCUAGUGUAGCGGUGAAAUGCGUAGAUAUUAGGAGGAACACCAGUGGCGAAGGCGGCUUGCUGGGCUUUUACUGACGCUGAGGCUCGAAAGCGUGGGGAGCAAACAGGAUUAGAUACCCUGGUA
rnacentral:rRNA from 2 species